UGGACGGACGGACGGACGGAAGGACAGACGGACGGAAGGACGGAUGGACAGACGGAUGGACGGACGGAUGGACAGACGGAUGGACGGACGGACGGAAGGACAGACGGAUGGACGGACGGAUGGACGGACAGAAGGACAAAGGACAGAUGGAUGGACAGAAGGACGGAUGGACGGACGGACGGGCAGACGGAUGGACGGACGGACGGAAGGACAGACGGACGGAAGGACGGAUGGACAGACGGACGGACGGAUGGACGGACGGACAGAAGGACAGACGGAAGGACAGACGGAUGGAUGGAUGGACGGACGGAACUUUUUCACGUGGGAUUUCCUUUUUCUGUUUGCUGUUGGUUCUACAUUUUCUACAGCACAUGUCAAAGUCAAGGCCCGUGAUCCGGCCAAUGAAGCCGCUGCAGCUCGAGUGGCUUCAUUUCAUCAGCAAUCAGAGCAGAGAUCAACUUCCGGGUCCCCCUCCUCAAGAAUGGUGGAACGGUUAGUGGACGCUGAGGACAGAGGGUUUCUGGCGGGAGGCAGAGUUCAUGUUCACGGAGAAGCUCACGGCUCCUCCAGCAGAACAAAGACAACAUGACGAUAACUCUGCAUAAAGCCAGAAGCAGCUGAGCAAGCCGCCUUCCUGACACACGACCUCAGGACUGGUCGCCACAAUCCGUCCCUUCGUCUUCAGCUGGACGUUCAAAACCUUCGGUUGGGGAAACGCUGCUGGUUUAACGACGGCAGUUUAUAAUCUCUCUGGCUGUAAAGCUGGAGUCAUUCUCAUUUAACUUCCUCACCUCUAAAACCGGCGUACCCGUCUCCAUGGCGGCACACAACUGCAGGCAACGUUUAAAAUGCUAAUUAUUCCUCUGGUUGAACUGAAUUUGUUGCAGCUGAAAUGAUCAGCAGAUCAUCCAGCAACACGAACCAGUAAGAAAUCAAAGCAACUGGUGGAAAACCCCCUGACAGCAAAACCAGUAAGUUCAGAAACGUAAACCAGUCUGAGUUUUUCUCUCAGGAGGCCGAACCGGCUGGAAACGAAGCUCAGAACAGCAAAUAAUUCAAAUUCUGGUUCAAAAAUACACACAGAUUAUUGGCUCUAACUGACUUCCAUACGCACAGAGCCGAGAGCAGAACAGGAGGAAAGUUUCAUCAUCAUGCAGGUUAAAUGAUGAACUUCACUCAGGCUCUCAUCAGUGGCUGCGUUUCCAUUGACUGCAAAACUGGAAUAAUGAAACUAAAUCGUCUGAAUGGAAACAAAAACUGAAAAGACUAAAGUAUUUUGCUGCACUUCACUGACAGGGGGCAGCGCUGAGCCCCACAGACAGAUGGGUGGCAAAGAAGGAGAGUCAUGGCGCCAAUCAGAAAAUCAGAUGUGACCUCACAAUAAAUAUUUUUAUUUUUCUUGCUGUCAUUUUGUAGAUCAUUAAUUAAAACAUAA